rnacentral:rRNA from 1 species
UCCAACCUAAAGAUUUUUCCCAUAGCAUUAAUUUAAACUUUAGAGUAAUUCAAAUAAGGUACAGCCUAUUUGAAACAGGACACAACCUCCAACAGCGGGUAAUUAUAAUUUAUUAAACCAAGUAGGCCUAAAAGCAGCCACCUUAAAAGAGCGUCAAAGCCUGAUUCCCCCCCCCCUUCUUCUAAUGCCUUCGCUAAUCCAGAACCCCUCACCCAUACUGAGUACUUCUAUAUUAUUAUAGAAACUUUUAUGUUAAAACUAGUAACAAGAAAACCUUCUCUUAAAUGUGAGUGUAAAUCAGAAUGGACCUCCCACUGAUAUUUAUUCAACAACUAGCAGCACCUCUUCCCAGUAAACCCUGCUUUUUUAACUGUUAACCUAACACCAGAACAUUUCAAGAAAGAUUAAACGAAAAAGAAGGAACUCGGCAAAUACUUAUCCCGCCUGUUUACCAAAAACAUCGCCUCUUGUCUUAAAUAAGAGGUCUAGCCUGCCCAGUGACUUUAGUUCAACGGCCGCGGUAUACUGACCGUGCAAAGGUAGCGUAAUCACUUGUUUUUUAAAUGAAGACUAGUAUGAAAGGCACCACGAGGAUCAAACUGUCUCCUUUUUCUAAUCUGUGAAACUAAUCUUCCCGUGAAAAAACGGGAAUCUUGAUAUAAGACGAGAAGACCCUAUGGAGCUUCAAACUAUAGUAACUGCUUUAUAAUAUUUUGUACAUCUUUACUGUACGUUUUGGGUUGGGGUGACCGCGGAGUAAAACUUAUCCUCCAUGCUGAAAAGAGACCUCCUUUAAACAAAGAGCUUCAACUCGAUGCAUCAACAAAUUGACAGCAAUUGACCCAUUUUUGAUCAACGAAACAAGUUACCCUAGGGAUAACAGCGCAAUCCACUUUGAAAGCCCCUAUCGACAAGUGGGUUUACGACCUCGAUGUUGGAUCAGGAUAUCCAAGUGGUGCAGCCGCUACUAAAGGUUCGUUUGUUCAACGAUUUAAAUCCUACGUGAUCUGAGU